GGCUUGGUUAAUUUCCAGAUGGAUAGCUCCCUCUUCUGUCUGGUUUGUAGAAUUCACAUCUUUUGAAAGCAGAGAUGGAAGAUGAAGUGUGUAUCACAAAAUUCUUUAUCUUGGCUGCAGGCUGAAUGUAGUUACUAUAUGAAGAAUAACAAAUUCAUGUAUUGGAAUAUGGAAAGUGCUUCCUUUGUAAUAAUUUGGUUUAAAAUAAAAUUGUCUAUCUUGCCUUAAAUGCUGGCUAAAAGAAAAUGAAAACAUUUCCUUAAGUUAAUAUUGAACUUUAUCUGCAGACAUCCCUGAAAAAAUGCAGACCUGAUCAAUCACUUGACUGAACUCUACUUGAAACACAUGGACUUUGGUCAAAUAAGCAUUUGCCACUUGAUUUGUACAGCAUUCCAACAAACGUCCAACUCAAGUCUUCUCUUGAACCUGAUCUGCAAGGUUGUUUCUGAUGGAGUUUCGCUCUUGUUGCCCAGGCUGGAGUGCAAUGGCGUGAUCUCAGCUCACCGCACCCUCUGUCUUCCUGGUUCAAGCGAUUCUCCUGCCUCAGCCUCCUGAGUAGCUGGGAUUACAGGCAUGCGCCACCACGCCCAGGAGAAAGAAAGAAGGAAGUGUGCCCAGGGCCAGAGAAAAGAGACCAUGUGGACCAAAGAAGAAUGGAGAUGGAGACAGUAGCUGCCUAACCAUUUUCCUAUUCUCAUGAGAUCCAGCUAUACUUGCUAUACUUUGUCUCAGUCAGAUUCUCCGUAAGUUUUUCACAGGGAAGUCAUUUGAAUAGAUGCCUGCUCCUGGUAAUCAAAACAUUUCCUAUUGGAGCAGUUUACUUAAAUGGGUUUUGUUUCCUUUAGUUUUUUCUUCCAAUUUUUGCUUUGGUGUUUUUAAAAUAUACAUAUGUUUAAAAUUUUUUUGAUAGUUAUGGC
rnacentral:lncRNA from 1 species